UACGUAGGGUGCAAGCGUUAAUCGGAAUUACUGGGCGUAAAGCGUACGCAGGCGGCUUUGCAAGACAGAUGUGAAAUCCCCGGGCUUAACCUGGGAACUGCAUUUGUGACUGCAUGGCUAGAGUGCGGCAGAGGGGGAUGGAAUUCCGCGUGUAGCAGUGAAAUGCGUAGAUAUGCGGAGGAACACCGAUGGCGAAGGCAAUCCCCUGGGCCUGCACUGACGCUCAUGCACGAAAGCGUGGGGAGCAAACAGG
rnacentral:rRNA from 1 species